CCGUACCUACGGGAGGCAGCAGUGGGGAAUAUUGCACAAUGGGGGAAACCCUGAUGCAGCAACGCCGCGUGAGUGAAGAAGUCAUUCGUGAUGUAAAGCUCUAUCAGCAGGGAAGAAAAUGACGGUACCUGAGUAAGAAGCCCCGGCUAACUACGUGCCAGCAGCCGCGGUAAUACGUAGGGGGCAAGCGUUAUCCGGAUUUACUGGGUGUAAAGGGAGCGCAGACGGCUGUGCAAGUCUGGAGUGAAAGGCGGGGGCCCAACCCCCGGACUGCUCUGGAAACUGUAAAGCUGGAGUGCAGGAGG
rnacentral:rRNA from 1 species